CUCCCUGGCUGUGGGCAACACUGGUCCUCAGUGUCACCAGAUGGUCCUCCUCUGUGCCCAUGACCCCUCAGCAGCCAAGGCUGGCCCUGCCAGAUAAAUGUGUGUGCCCAUGAUCACACCCAGGGGCACAGGCCACAUACGUUUCCCUCUGUACUCCAGCCUGGUUGACAGAGUGAGACCCUGUCUCAAAUAAGUAAAAAUAAAAUUCAAAUCGGUUACCUUAGUUUGGAAACUUUUCAAAGAAGUAGUCCACGAGAACUACCUUGAAAGAGCAAAACCAGCCAGGUGCAGGGGCUCACGCCCAUAAUCCCAGCACUCUGGGAGGCCCAGGUGGGUGGAUCUCGUGAGGUCAGGAGUUCAAGACCAGCUUGGCCAACAUGGUGAAACCCCAUCUCUGCUGAAAAUACAAAAGUUAGCUGAAAAUACAAAAGUGGCACAUGCCUGUAAUGCCAGCUACUGGGGAGGCUGAGGUAGGAGAAUUGCUUGAACCUGGGAGGCAGAGGUUGCAGUGAGCCAAGAUUGCGCCAUUGCACUCCAAUCUGGGGAACAAGAGCAAAACUCUGUCUGAAAAAAAAAAAGCGACACCACAUGGGAGGAUGUUUCUUGGGGGAGGUGUGCUAUGCCCGAGCAGGCUCCAGCACCAGGGGCGCUGGUGUGUCAGGAGCGCGCCUCCAGGCCGGUGUGAACUCUGCAACUUCACAUUGUGCCUCCUGCCGCCGCUGCUGCUUCCCCGAGCCCCAAGCUCAACCUGGAGCAUGAGCUCCCACCCUGAGGAGGAGGCUGUCAAUACUGUGUUUCUUUCCAGGGAGGCAACGGGUGGGUGCGAUGUUGUCACUUAAGUUGCCACCUCUGCAUAAGAGCUCUCUGAUCAGAAAGCAGUUUCUUUGUUGACCCCAGCCAGCCUUGGCUCUCGGGUUGGGAAAUACAGUCACGGUAUCCAUGGAGACCUCUUGAGGUGGAGACGGGCGUUAAAUCCUUCUCAGGCAGUCUGAGGUGGCCAGAGUCUGAAGCAAGCAGCCUCUAUGGAGCGAGGGGAGCAGGUGGGCCCAGCCUGAGCGGGGCCUCUGCACAGCCAGCUUUCCCCCACACCUGUCUCCAGCCAGGGCACCCACAGGCCCUUUCUCUCCCAGGAUGAAGCCUGCUGGGAGCGUGAAUGACAUGGCCCUGGAUGCCUUCGACUUGGACCGGAUGAAGCAGGUGAGCAUGCCCUGUGCCCUUCCCUCAAGAGGCUGAGGGCAGCCAGCAGGCGGGGGACCGUCUCUGACCAGCAUGGCCAGGCAGGCCCUGGGGGCCCACAUGUAGCUGCCAAAAGGCCAGUCAGGGAGCAGCCACGGCAGAAAGGGGGUGCCCAAGCCUGUCCUUUGUCCCCAGCCCCUGCCAUCACCAGAACUAGGAUGUCCCUCAACCUUUCUGGGCACCUCCCUCAGGCCUGCCUCUGGGGCUUUCUGCCCCGAGGAAGCCCUUAGUUUCAGUGGCGUCUACCUGAGGGAGGUGGCAGCAGGAUUUUCCCAGGCCUCCCAUGCCGUCCCCCCUCAGCGUGGGAAGGGGGCCACGAGGAGACAAGGGUGACAGAUGCAACUCUGGAGAGGCCCAGGAGACCCCAAGCCCUUUGGACAUGGCCCAGCCCAGGCCGGCUUUUCCGUCUCCACUGCCUGUCCCUUCACCUGGACACUCCUCUCCCAACAGGAGAUCCUAGAGGAGGUGGUGAGAGAGCUCCACAAGGUGAAGGAGGAGAUCAUCGACGGUGAGUGCAGCCCCACCGGGGAGGGUGGCACCCAGGUGUGGCCGCAGGACAAGGGUCCCUGUCACCCAGGCUGGGGGCCUCCAGUUUUGAGCUGGAGCCCAUACUGCACUGGGCCCUGUGAGAGAUUUCAUUCUUACCAUCUCUAGUUGAGGAAACAGGCUCAGGAAAGCUGAAAGCUAAGUGGCUUGCCUAAGAAUUUGUAGCUCCCUGGUAGCAUGACACCCGAAUCUGACCUUCCACAUCCCCGGCACCUUCCUGGAAGACCCACGUGGGAAGAGCAUGGAGGGGAGACCCCAGCAUCGUUCCAGAGCCAGGUCUGGAGGAGCCACCUGAGCUGCUGUCAUUCCACCCCCUGGCGGUUUAUACUGCCUUCUUGAUACUGCCACCUCCAGUCACUGGUGUUGGGCUUCUGAGGUGACCACUCUGCCUUCCUGGGGGUACAGGAAGACCAAGGUCUACAGAAGCACCUUCCAGGCUUGAGCUCGUUCACAGCCUGCCUGGCCCUGGGCUGGGGAACAGGCAGGGAGCAGCCUCUGGCUCCAGAGCAGGGUGGGUCUCAAUGCAUCACAUCCGUCCUUCCGGUUCCCAGCAGAGCCUUUGAAUGCUCUGCCUCAGAUCUGCAGCCAGAGGAAAAGGGGGAGUGGGCAGGGCAGACUCAGUCUAGGGACGAGCUAUGCAGCACAGCCAGUGCCAGCUCCCCACGUGCCUCCCCAACCAGGGUGAUAAAGGCUGACACCUGGGUGUGUAGCUGGGUCUGGCCCCCAGGGCAUCACAGUGACCGGGGCAAAAGGGUCCCACAAGCGCACAGGGGUGGAGGCUGAUGGCAGAGGGAAGAGGCAGGUGGGAGCCCAAAGACCCAGGCCUCCUCCCCCAGCCGGCCCACCCUUGUUUGAG
rnacentral:lncRNA from 10 species